AUUGAACGCUAGCUGCAUGCUUAACACAUGCAAGUCGAACGGCAGCGCGAGGAGCUUGCUCCUUGGCGGCGAGUGGCGGACGGGUGAGUAACGCGUAGGAAUCUACCAAGUAGAGGGGGACAACUCGGGGAAACUCGAGCUAAUACCGCAUAAUCCCUUCGGGGGAAAGCAGGGGAUCUUCGGACCUUGCGCUAUUUGAUGAGCCUGCGUAGGAUUAGCUUGUUGGUGAGGUAAAGGCUCACCAAGGCGACGAUCCUUAGCUGGUCUGAGAGGAUGAUCAGCCACACUGGGACUGAGACACGGCCCAGACUCCUACGGGAGGCAGCAGUGGGGAAUAUUGGACAAUGGGGGCAACCCUGAUCCAGCAAUGCAGCGUGUGUGAAGAAGGUCUUCGGAUUUGUAAAGCACUUUCAGUAGGGAGGAAAACACAUCGAUUAAUACUCGAUGAAUUGACGUUACUACAGAA
rnacentral:rRNA from 1 species